CUAUACUGCAAGUCGAGCGGACAGAUGGGAGCUUGCUCCCUGAUGUUAGCGGCGGACGGGUGAGUAACACGUGGGUAACCUGCCUGUAAGACUGGGAUAACUCCGGGAAACCGGGGCUAAUACCGGAUGGUUGUUUGAACCGCAUGGUUCAGACAUAAAAGGUGGCUUCGGCUACCACUUACAGAUGGACCCGCGGCGCAUUAGCUAGUUGGUGAGGUAACGGCUCACCAAGGCGACGAUGCGUAGCCGACCUGAGAGGGUGAUCGGCCACACUGGGACUGAGACACGGCCCAGACUCCUACGGGAGGCAGCAGUAGGGAAUCUUCCGCAAUGGACGAAAGUCUGACGGAGCAACGCCGCGUGAGUGAUGAAGGUUUUCGGAUCGUAAAGCUCUGUUGUUAGGGAAGAACAAGUGCCGUUCAAAUAGGGCGGCACCUUGACGGUACCUAACCAGAAAGCCACGGCUAACUACGUGCCAGCAGCCGCGGUAAUACGUAGGUGGCAAGCGUUGUCCGGAAUUAUUGGGCGUAAAGGGCUCGCAGGCGGUUUCUUAAGUCUGAUGUGAAAGCCCCCGGCUCAACCGGGGAGGGUCAUUGGAAACUGGGGAACUUGAGUGCAGAAGAGGAGAGUGGAAUUCCACGUGUAGCGGUGAAAUGCGUAGAGAUGUGGAGGAACACCAGUGGCGAAGGCGACUCUCUGGUCUGUAACUGACGCUGAGGAGCGAAAGCGUGGGGAGCGAACAGGAUUAGAUACCCUGGUAGUCCACGCCGUAAACGAUGAGUGCUAAGUGUUAGGGGGUUUCCGCCCCUUAGUGCUGCAGCUAACGCAUUAAGCACUCCGCCUGGGGGAGUACGGUCGCAAGACUGAAACUCAAAGGAAUUGACGGGGGCCCGCACAAGCGGUGGAGCAUGUGGUUUAAUUCGAAGCAACGCGAAGAACCUUAUCAGGUCUUGACAUCCUCUGACAAUCCUAGAGAUAGGACGUCCUCUUCGGGGGCAGAGUGACAGGUGGUUGCAUGGUUGUCGUCAGCUCGUGUCGUGAGAUGUUGGGUUAAGUCCCGCACGAGCGCAACCC
rnacentral:rRNA from 1 species